AGCAGCACGCACUAUUGUGCCUUCAUGUUCAAGGACCUUUAGAGCAUUAACCAGUGGUUAAUCUUCCCUCAUCAAACCCAUGCAUUUCAGAGAAAAACAAGCAGUCAAGUCUGGAAUAAUAACAUCUGGCUGGAAGCUGUCUUGCUGGGGGAACUAGUUAGUAAUGAAUGACACAGCCUUAUAUCUCUCAUCUGCUGAUUUGUAAACACCCCGGACACAGAGCAGCCUUGAGGAAGAAGAUGAAAACACGUGAAUAAGACACCUGAAUCCUACCAGGUAGAAGGAAAUAACUGUUUGUGGCUCAUGCUAUCA
rnacentral:lncRNA from 1 species